GAUGAACGCUGGCGGUAUGCUUAACACAUGCAAGUCGAACGGACUCUUCGGAGUUAGUGGCGGACGGGUGAGUAACGCGUGAGAAUCUGGCUUUGGGUUCGGGACAACCACUGGAAACGGUGGCUAAUACCGGAUGUGCCGAGAGGUAAAAGAGAAAUUGCCUGAAGAUGAGCUCGCGUCUGAUUAGCUAGUUGGUGAGGUAAAGGCUCACCAAGGCAGCGAUCAGUAGCUGGUCUGAGAGGAUGACCAGCCACACUGGGACUGAGACACGGCCCAGACUCCUACGGGAGGAAGGAGUGGGGAAUUGUCCACAAUGGGCGAAGGCCUGACGGAGCAAUACCGCGUGAGGGAAGAAGGCUCUUGGGUUGUAAACCUCUUUUCUUAGGGAAGAACAAAAUGACGGUACCUAAGGAAUAAGCAUCGGCUAACUCCGUG
rnacentral:rRNA from 1 species